rnacentral:lncRNA from 1 species
CUGACAUGCGUACUUUGACACAAAGCAUGUGAUACUAAGUGUUACAACCAAAAUGGUUCACAUAUCAAAAGCAUGGAUCCCUUCAUGCAUAGUAAAACAUUCAUAAGCAUCACUCAUAUCAAUCAACAUAAACAUCACACAUUCCAACACAUUCAUACAUAAACAUCAUACAUUCCAACACAUUCAUACAUAAACAUCAUACAUUCCAACACAUCCAUACAUAAGUCAACUGUGCUUCGAAAGGGUUCAACAUACUUUGUGUCAUUCGACACUUGCUACA